AUUGAACGCUGGCGGAAUGCUUUACACAUGCAAGUCGAACGGCAGCACGGGGCAACCUGGUGGCGAGUGGCGAACGGGUGAGUAAUACAUCGGAACGUGCCCAAUCGUGGGGGAUAACGUAGCGAAAGUUACGCUAAUACCGCAUACGAUCUACGGAUGAAAGCGGGGGAUCGCAAGACCUCGCGCGAAUGGAGCAGCCGAUGUCAGAUUAGGUAGUUGGUGGGGUAAAGGCUCACCAAGCCGACGAUCUGUAGCUGGUCUGAGAGGACGACCAGCCACACUGGGACUGAGACACGGCCCAGACUCCUACGGGAGGCAGCAGUGGGAAUUUUGGACAAUGGGCGCAAGCCUGAUCCAGCCAUUCCGCGUGCAGGAUGAAGGCCUUCGGGUUGUAACUGCUUUUGUACGGUAACGAAACGGUAGAGCUCUAAUACAGUUGCUAAUGACGGUACCGUAAGAAUAAG
rnacentral:rRNA from 1 species